rnacentral:lncRNA from 1 species
GGACAAACAGCCAUUUUGUCUGCUGGACAGGGAUGUCGUAGGGGAGCGGUCGGGCUGAUUUUUUGGCAUUGCUUCGUAGCAGAAGGAGAAUGCUAAGUGAAAUUAGCUGUACAAAAUUGGUGUUUUAAAGCUAUUGAGCAAGAAACAAAAUUAACAUCAACAGCAGGUGGCAGUGCUAGCAAGAGCAGUGGUUCUGAUGUGAGUUGUCGGCUGGUGGUUUGUGUAGUUUCAGCUCUUCCGCAAAAGCAGUAGAGAGUGCCAGGAUCCUGUGUGCAGAGAGGACAAGACCAGCUCCCACUGAUGACUGACCCCUGGAACACCCCUCAAGCAUUGUUGUGAGGUUCAAGUAGAAGCUUGCUGUAUGUUGGUGAAGUUCACC